rnacentral:rRNA from 1 species
AGGGAAUAUUGGUCAAUGGACGGAAGUCUGAACCAGCCAUGCCGCGUGCAGGAAGAAGGUCCUCUGGAUUGUAAACUGCUUUUGUCCGGGAAUAAAUCUGUCUUAAGAGGCAGUUGAAGGUACCGGGAGAAUAAGCACCGGCUAACUCCGUGCCAGCAGCCGCGGUAAUACGGAGGGUGCAAGCGUUGUCCGGAUUUAUUGGGUUUAAAGGGUGCGUAGGCGGCCUAUUAAGUCAGUGGUGAAAGCCGGUAGCUCAACUAUCGAAAUGCCAUUGAUACUGAUAGGCUUGAGUACAGUUGAGGUAGUUGGAAUGAGUAGUGUAGCGGUGAAAUGCAUAGAUAUUACUCAGAACACCGAUUGCGAAGGCAGAUUACUAAACUGGAACUGACGCUGAGGCACGAAAGUGUGGGGAUCAAAC